UAAAGCUACAAAGAGCUAAUGGGGGAUGCCUUGGUACUGACAGCCGACGAAGGACGUGUAAAGCUACGAAAAGCCACGGGGAACUGCUAAAGAGUCUUGAUCCGUGGGAAUCCGAAUGGGGAAACCCUUCAGAGUUAAAACUCUGAAAUCGACUGAUGAAUCAAUAGUCAGCCAGAAGGAAAGCCUGUGAACUGAAACAUCUUAGUAACAGGACGAAGAGAAAAUAAAAAUGAUUCCGAGAGUAGCGGCGAGCGAAAUUGGAAGAGCCUAAACCUUUAAUACGUGAUAGCCUGUAAGCGUUGUAUUAGAGGGGUUGAGGGACUUACCGAUAAGUUACAGCUUAUUAAAUCAGUUACAAAGUUAUUUGAUAGAUGAAUACAACUGGGAAGUUGAGCCAUAGAGUGUGAUAGCCACUUAAUCGAAAUUAAAUAGCCUGAUGUAAGUAUCCCGAGUAAGGCGGGGCACGUGAAACCCUGUCUGAAUCCACCGGGACCAUCCGGUAAGGCUAAAUACUAGUCAGUGACCGAUAGUGAACGAGUACAGUGAUGGAAAGGCGAAAAGAACAGUGAGAAGCUGAGUGAAAUAGACCCUAAAACCGUUAGCUUACAAUCAGUUAGAGCCCUAUUGAUAGGGUGAUAGCGUGCCUGUUGAAGAAUGAGCCGGCGAGUUAAUUUAUGUUGCGAGGUUAAGGAGUUGAUAUCCGGAGCCACAGCGAAAGCGAGUUUGAAAAGAGCGUUAAGUAACAUGAAUUAGACCCGAACCUUGGCGAUCUAACCUUGACCAGGAUGAAGCGUAGGUAACACUACGUGGAGGUCCGAACCAACCGAUGUUGAAAAAUCGGUGGAUGAGUUGAGGUUAGGGGUGAAAUGCCAAUCGAGCCAAGAGCUAGCUGGUUCUCCCCGAAAUGCGUUUAGGCACAGCGUUGGACUUAUCUUACCGGAGGUAGAGCACUAGUCUGGUGCGGGCGGCGAAAUGCCGUACCAAAUCAUGUUAAACUCCGAAUACCGGUAAAGUUACUAUCCAGCAGUGAGGCUGCGAGUGCUAAGAUCCGUGGCCAAGAGGGAAACAGCCCAGAACGCCAGUUAAGGUCCCAAAUAUAUGCUAAGUGGUUAAGGAGGUAGAGUUGCUGAGACAACUAGGAGGUUGGCUUAGAAGCAGCCAUUCCUUGAAAGAGUGCGUAAUAGCUCACUAGUCAAGCGACUCCGCGCCGAAAAUACACCGGGACUAAAGCAUAUAACCGAAACUGCGUCAUAUAGUUUACUAUAUGGGUAGGGGAGCGUUCUGUAGUAGGACGAAGUAAGAUCGAAAGGACUUAUGGACGAGGCAGAAGUGAGAAUGUCGGCAUAAGUAGCGAAAACAUUGGUGAGAAUCCAAUGCACCGAAAACCUAAGGUUUCCCACGGCAGGCUCGUCCGCGUGGGGUUAGUCGGAUCCUAAGGUAAGGCCGAAGGGCGUAGCCGAUGGACAUCAGGUUGAUAUUCCUGAACUGACGAAUAAUCGUUUGAUAGGCGGAGGGACGCAGGAGGAUAGACACGCAAGCGACUGGAAGAGCUUGUUAGAACGUGUAGGUAGAUUAAGUAGGAAAAUCCGCUUAGUCGUUAUAAACUGAGGCGUUGUAUGGGACAUUCUACGGAAUGGAAGGUGUUGACUCCACACUGCCAAGAAAAGCUUCGCACUAGAGAUUAUUAGUUAUCCGUACCGCAAACCGCCACAGGUAGGUUGGUAGAGAAUACUAAGGUGCGCGAGACAACUCUCGCUAAGGAACUCGGCAAAAUCACCUCGUAACUUCGGGAGAAGAGGUACCCUGGUAGAGUGAAGCGAUUUACUCGUGGAGCUUGAUAGGGUCGCAGUGAAUAGGCCCAUGCGACUGUUUACCAAAAACACAGGUCUCUGCUAAGUCGAUCAAGACGAAGUAUAGGGGCUGACGCCUGCCCGGUGUCGGAAGGUUACGUGGAAGUGUUAGAAGCAAUUCGAAGCACCGAAACUAAGCCCCGAUGAACGGCGGCCGUAACUAUAACGGUCCUAAGGUAGCGAAAUUCCUUGUCAGGUA
rnacentral:rRNA from 1 species